rnacentral:lncRNA from 1 species
CACCGUGAGAGGACCCUUAUAGACUGCUUUCCUUGAUUCAUGAAGGAUCUCAUCCUUGGCCCAUUGACUGGAAAUAUUUCCAACAUAAAUAUGAGAACUAGAGCCAACAGCAACACCAUUCACUGCACCCCUAGUACCAAGUCCUAUAUCCAUGAAUUUUACACGGCCAUGAAAAUUUCCAGGUGCAUAAUGCCGAGCUUUUAUUGCAUCAGUAAUCCUUCUGUAC